rnacentral:rRNA from 1 species
UAAGGAAUAUUGGUCAAUGGGGGCAACCCUGAACCAGCCAUGCCGCGUGCAGGAAGACGGCCCUAUGGGUUGUAAACUGCUUUUAUACGGGAAUAAACCCCUUUACGUGUAAAGGGUUGAAGGUACCGUAAGAAUAAGGAUCGGCUAACUCCGUGCCAGCAGCCGCGGUAAUACGGAGGAUCCGAGCGUUAUCCGGAUUUAUUGGGUUUAAAGGGUGCGUAGGCGGCUUGAUAAGUCAGUGGUGAAAGUUUGCGGCUUAACCGUAAAAUUGCCAUUGAUACUGUCGGGCUUGAGUACAGAUGAGGUAGGCGGAAUGUGUCAUGUAGCGGUGAAAUGCAUAGAUAUGACACAGAACACCGAUUGCGAAGGCAGCUUACUAAAGUGUAACUGACGCUGAGGCACGAAAGCGUGGGGAUCAAACAGGAUUAGAUACCCUGGUAGUCCACGCCCUAAACGAUGAUUACUCGAUGUCGGCGAUAGACAGUCGGCGUCCAAGCGAAAGCGUUAAGUAAUCCACCUGGGGAGUACGGUCGCAAGAUUGA